rnacentral:rRNA from 1 species
AGAGUUUAUCCUGGCUCAGGAUGAACGCUGGCGGCGUGCUUAACACAUGCAAGUCGAACGGUGAAGCCCAGCUUGCUGGGUGGAUCAGUGGCGAACGGGUGAGUAACACGUGAGCAAUCUGCCCCUGACUCUGGGACAAGCGCUGGAAACGGCGUCUAAUACUGGAUAUGAACCGUGGAGGCAUCUUCAUACGGUUGGUAAAGAUUUUUUGGUCAGGGAUGAGCUCGCGGCCUAUCAGCUGUGUUGGUGAGGUAAUGGCUCACCAAGGCGUCGACGGGUAGCCGGC